UUUUCCAGUGUUUAGAUUUUUAUCCACUUUAUUAAUGAGGCGGGCAAGAGGCCCGGGUGAGGGUGUGGGGGUUUGCUCCUGUCCCGCUCAGAGGAGGGGGUCACAGAAACCAAACCAAUUCAGAAAACUUCAGUCCUUGAAGAGAAGGAGCUGGGCCCAGUUGCCCUGACCAUUGCCAGCUGUAGAGGUUUUGCCCACUCAAGGCUCCCAGCCCCAGAGGGCAGACAUGCAUGGGGUGGAGCAGCCCCUGGAGGCCAGUGGAGUGCGGGUGGAGGCGGCACGGAGCCGAGGAGCCGCCCCAGGAAGAGGGAGCGGCCUGCCGGGAGCCAGGGAGUAGCUGGAGUGGGCAGCAGGAGCCAAGUUCCAGGCCAUGGGGACCCUGCAUCCUGAGCGCACUGGGUAAGAAGCUGGGACGUGAUGGAUGGCAAGCCAGAGGAGGAGAACUCUAGCCAUCCUGCUCUCUUGCUGUUUUAUGG
rnacentral:lncRNA from 1 species